CAGUGCGGCGGCGGAAGCGGAACCGCUCCUGAAGGAGCUGGAACCGCCGCUGCCCGCGGUGGUCGGCGGUGGCGGAGGAGCUCGAGCACAUUGCACAUCCUGCUUCGCGCGGAGAAGAGAAGGAGCCUGCUGACGCCGCCGAUUGGGGGCCAGGUGCGAGAGGGAGACCGGCGCCCUCGCGGCGCGGUUACCGCCGCUGCCGAGUCGGAAGCACCAGCCACCCAGCGCCACGCCGACUCUUGGCUUUCUGUAUGGUAUCUGGUGGCUAGCUUACUGGAGGUGGCAGCAGCAAUGCUAAGCGUAUUUCUCGAUGGUUUGAUUUUGGACAGGCAGUACAGCAGAAAGUGACAAGUGAGAGUGUGCUCUUGCUGACCUUUUGUGUUCCAUACAGUCAAAAGUCUUUUAUACAUGUUAAUAUGGACGUAAAGACGCAGUGUUUUAGAAAACUUCUGUAGUAUGAGAUGCCCAACAUUUAUGGCUUUAUCAUCUGCAUUAUAUAAUGCAAAUUUGCAAUUGAUGAUGCUUUUCCUUGUCUUGUAGUAGCUUUAUUCCCAUCUUGUUGCGAGAUAGAUCUGCGUGUGAAUUUAUUGAUGUCCUCUCUUCCCUUCUUCUCUCUGUUACCAACUUAUCCUAUCUUCUCUAUCAUUUAGGAGUUGUGUCUAUAGCAAGGAUAGCAAUAGCAUGUUAAUUUUCUCUAUCAUUUAUAGCAAGGAUACCAUGGUAAUUUUCUCUUGUUGUUCACCUUGUUAAUCCUUGUGGCCAUGUUAGGCAAGAAUGCAGGCAAGACAGAAACGGCCAGAUGCAUUCAUGUAAUUGCACAUGUGGAUUUUUAUUAAGGUUUUCUAUGAAUGAACACCGAUCGGUACACAUACCUUUUGUUCUGUUUUCCUUUCUUUUCCCAGUUUAGUUUCAUCAUUUUUUAUUGACUAACUUAAGAUAAGCACUGAACUAUGCCUACUUAAGAUUGACUAGAUAGAUCUAAGGCUCCAAAGCAUAAAGUGAUGGGUUGAGAUAAGCUUAAUUAUGGAUAGCCUGGAACAAUCUUAUGACUUACACGUAGAUGUCUACAACUUCGCACUGAAGAUGCAUUAGCACAAUGGUUCACCAAGGAGUUCUUGUGACAAGCAAUUUUCUGCAUAUCCGAAAUUGGAACUAUUGUUAUAUUUUCAUAUUCUACAGAGCUCAUACGACAGCUUUGCUCUUUGCAGGUAAGCAUAAUUAGAAACUAAGAAGAUUACAUCAGAAUUAGUAAAGAGGCAGUAUGUUUGGCAGAAAAUUUCAGCGACAACCAUUUGUUCAAAUUGUAAUAAAAAGAGACUAACUAGGGGAACCAAGUGAUUUUGUGUUAAGAAGGAAAUAGUCACCCAAUUUUUUUGUGAAGUGGACUCAAAUUUGGGUGGUGAAUAGUCAGCAUAUAUUGUGCACACCUACACCUCCGGCUAACUGAGCAAAUCUUGAUUCCUGGAAAUCAUUGGUUCCUCCACCAUGAUAUUUGCUUCUCAUCAAAGCGACCACAGCUGAUAAGUCCACGUUCUUUUUUUAAUGAAGCAGGAGGGUUUGCCCCCCUAAUGGUUAUAUAUUAAUAUCAAAAAAAGAGGUGAAGAUACAAUAAAAAGAAGCACAAAAGAAAAACAGAGAGUCCACAUGUCUAAUUUGUAUGCUGCAGAAGUCAUGCUACUUCUCAUUAUCAACAAAUCCAUAUUUAGAAAAAGGUACUUCCUUAAAAUUAUUUUAAUGGAGUGCCCCGGUUAUGUUUUAACCAUAUUACUUAAUCAGUCCUUUCUAUACUACACUGAUCAACGAGGUGUCAGCACAUAGUUGACUUGGCUACCAGCUAAGCUUGUGGAUGUCGGCACCAUAUGAAAGAAACAUACAGCUUUGUGGAGGAAGCAACAUUCAUAGUUUUUAUAUAAUGCUUCAUAGAUAACAUGUGUAACUUAUUUUUGUGUGCCUAAAUCGCUUUUUGUCGACUAACCACUCAUUCAAGAGGUGCUUUACCCAGUAGGAUUGCUGUUGAUGGCCCAUGCAGUUCUAAGCUGACAAAUCAUCCUCCAAUUUGCGAGAUUGCUAUGGUUCACACAAAGUGGCAGGGAUCAAAACAGAGCAACCAGGGAUAAACAUGUAAUUCGUGAGUGCGCAAGGAAUAUGUAGCUGCUCCAUUUCCUUUUCAUUUAAGCUUAAAUGAUUCCUUUUCCAUUUUUUAGUAUUAGGUGCUGUCCUUAUCUUUCUUGUAGCUAGAUGUUAAAUUAUGUCACUGUUGGCUGUGUAUUUUAUCCUAAGUUGUCAUGUUUUCUCCUUGGAUCUGUUAAUGCUUAAACAGUGUAGUUUACACAUGAGUCGAGAUAAUUGAAAUGAUUAGCUCAUCCA